rnacentral:lncRNA from 1 species
AAAGAUGUCAUACAUACUCUUAGCAAUAGCAGAUUUUUGACCAUGUUUGACAUUUCUGGUUUGCAUAUAACCAAUACCAUAUCUGUUUUUAUUUCUUUUAACAUGCAUAUUUGGUGUAUAUCCUAAACCAGAUUUUUCAUGAACAUGUCUUUGAUUGCUAAGUAUGACAUUCAGCUUAUCUUUACUAUUUGCAAAAUUUAAUAAAUCAGAUUUUAAUGAUGCAAC